CCUACGGGAGGCAGCAGUGAGGAAUAUUGGUCAAUGGGCGGGAGCCUGAACCAGCCAAGUCGCGUGAGGGAAGACGGCCCUAUGGAUUGUAAACCUCUUUAGGCGGGGAGCAAUGCCUGGCACGCGUGUCCGGAUGGAGAGUACCCUAUGACUAAGCAUCGGCUAACUCCGUGCCAGCAGCCGCGGUAAUACGGAGGAUGCGAGCGUUAUCCGGAUUUAUUGGGUUUAAAGGGGGCGUAGGUGGUUUUUUAAGUCAGCGGUGAAAGUUUGUGGCUCAACCAUAAAAUUGCCGUUGAAACUGGAAGACUUGAGUGUGUUUGAGGUAGGCGGAAUGCGUGGUGUAGCGGUGAAAUGCAUAGAUAUCACGCAGAACUCCGAUUGCGAAGGCAGCUUACUGAGCCAUAACUGACACUGAAGCACGAAAGCGUGGGGAUCAAACAGGAUUAGAUACCCUAGUAGUC
rnacentral:rRNA from 1 species